CUGCGGAAGGAUCAUUGUCGAAUCCUGGCCCCGGAAAGACCGCGAACAAGUUAUCAAAAACCCGGAACGCGGGCGGGCGCGAGGAAACCUCGCCCGUCGGCUCCCGCACACAACCUAACUCUCGGCGCGGGAUGCGCCAAGGACUACUGAAACGGAUUGCCGUGCGCCCGGCGGCUCACGCCGGUCGCGUGCGGCGUCUGGUCGUUCUAACCGAAAUGACUCUCGGCAACAGAUAUCUAGGCUCUCGCAUCGAUGAAGAACGCAGCAAAAUUCGAUACUUGGUGUGAAUUGCAGAAUCCCGUGAACCAUCGAGUUUUUGAACACAAGUUGCGCCCGAAGCCAACAGGCCGAGGGCACGUCUGCCUGGGCAUCACGCAUCGCGUCGCCACCCCCCCACUCCCGGGCGGGGGUGACGGAUGUUGGCCUCCCGUGCCCUCCGCGGCGCGGCCGGCCUAAAUGCGGGCCCCCGGCGCGGGACGUCACGGCAAGUGGUGGUUGAACUCCUGAAUCGUGUGCUGCCGCGACGACCCUCGACGGGAGCGAAACGACCCCGGAGCCCGUCACGGGCCUCAGACCGCGACCCCAGGUCAGGCGGGAUUAC
rnacentral:rRNA from 1 species